rnacentral:rRNA from 1 species
AUUGAACGCUGGCGGCAUGCCUAACACAUGCAAGUCGAACGGAGGCAGCGAUGCCUCAGUGGCGGACGGGUGAGGAACGCGUAGGAAUCGACCCACGAGUGGGGGACAACCUGGGGAAACUCAGGCUAAUACCGCAUACGCUCGCGAGAGGAAAGCGGGGGACCUUCGGGCCUCGCGCUGGUGGACGAGCCUACGUCCGAUUAGCUGGUUGGUGGGGUAAAAGCCUACCAAGGCGACGAUCGGUAGCGGGUCUGAGAGGACGACCCGCCACACUGGGACUGAGACACGGCCCAGACUCCUACGGGAGGCAGCAGUGGGGAAUAUUGGACAAUGGGCGCAAGCCUGAUCCAGCAAUGCCGCGUGGGGUGAAGACGGCCUGCGGGUUGUAAAGCCCUUUAGGCGGGGAGGAACGGUCGGGUGCGAAGACCACCGGCGCUGACGUUACCCGCAGAAUAAGCACCGGCUAACUCCGUGCCAGCA